UACGGAGGGUGCAAGCGUUAAUCGGAAUUACUGGGCGUAAAGCGUGCGCAGGCGGUUUUGUAAGUCUGUCGUGAAAUCCCCGGGCUCAACCUGGGAAUUGCGAUGGAGACUGCAAGGCUAGAAUCUGGCAGAGGGGGGUAGAAUUCCACGUGUAGCAGUGAAAUGCGUAGAGAUGUGGAGGAACACCGAUGGCGAAGGCAGCCCCCUGGGUCAAGAUUGACGCUCAUGCACGAAAGCGUGGGGAGCAAACAGG
rnacentral:rRNA from 1 species